rfam:TPA: Bos taurus chromosome 15, whole genome shotgun sequence.
UCCCUGGUGGCUCAGAGGUUAAAGCGUCUGCCUGCAAUGCAGGAGACCCAGGUUCAAUCCCUGGGUUGGGAA